rnacentral:tRNA from 1 species
GCAUCCGUAGCUCAGCUGGAUAGAGCGCUGCCCUCCGAAGGCAGAGGCCAGGGGUUCGAAUCCCUUCGGGUGCACCA